rnacentral:rRNA from 1 species
AACAAACGCUGGCGGCGUGCCUAACACAUGCAAGUCGUACGAGAAAGGGUCCUUCGGGGCCUGAGUAAAGUGGCGCACGGGUGAGUAACGCGUGGAUAAUCUGCCCUUCAGUUGGGAAUAACUCAUCGAAAGGUGGGCUAAUACCGAAUAAUGCUGUGAGACCUCGGUUGAUAAGCCAAAGAGAGCCUCUGCUUGCAAGCCCUCGCUGCAGGAUGAGUCCGCGUACCAUUAGCUAGUUGGUAGGGUAAUGGCCUACCAAGGCGACGAUGGUUAGCUGGUCUGAGAGGAUGAUCAGCCACACUGGAACUGAGACACGGUCCAGACUCCUACGGGAGGCAGCAGUGAGGAAUCUUGCGCGAUGGGGGCAACCCUGACGCAGCAACGCCGCGUGAGUGAGGAAGGUCUUCGGAUCGUAAAGCUCUGUCGGAUGGAAAGAACCGCAUAGGGGUAAACAGCCCCUGUGUCUGACGGUACCAUCAAAGGAAGCACCGGCUAACUCCGUGCCAGCCGCCGCCGUAAAAC